UACGUAGGGAGCAAGCGUUGUCCGGAAUCAUUGGGCGUAAAGCGCGCGUAGGUGGCCCGCUAAGUCCGCUCUGAAAGUCACAGGCUCAACCUGUGAAAGCGCGUGGAUACUGCCGGGCUAGAGUCCGGAAGAGGCGAGUGGAACUCCUGGUGUAGCGGUGGAAUGCGCAGAUAUCAGGAAGAACACCAACGGCGAAGGCAGCUCGCUGGGACGGUACUGACGCUGAGACGCGAAAGCGUGGGGAGCGAACAGG
rnacentral:rRNA from 1 species